rnacentral:rRNA from 1 species
AGCGUACACGGUGGAUGCCCUGGCAGUCAGAGGCGAUGAAGGACGUGCUAAUCUGCGAUAAGCGUCGGUAAGGUGAUAUGAACCGUUAUAACCGGCGAUUUCCGAAUGGGGAAACCCAGUGUGUUUCGACACACUAUCAUUAACUGAAUCCAUAGGUUAAUGAGGCGAACCGGGGGAACUGAAACAUCUAAGUACCCCGAGGAAAAGAAAUCAACCGAGAUUCCCCCAGUAGCGGCGAGCGAACGGGGAGSAGCCCAGAGCCUGAAUCAGURUGUGUGUUAGUGGAAGCGUCUGGAAAGGCGCGCGAUACAGGGUGACAGCCCCGUACACAAAAAUGCACAUGCUGUGAGCUCGAUGAGUAGGGCGGGACACGUGGUAUCCUGUCUGAAUAUGGGGGGACCAUCCUCCAAGGCUAAAUACUCCUGACUGACCGAUAGUGAACCAGUACCGUGAGGGAAAGGCGAAAAGAACCCCGGCGAGGGGAGUGAAAAAGAACCUGAAACCGUGUACGUACAAGCAGUGGGAGCACGCUUAGGCGUGUGACUGCGUACCUUUUGUAUAAUGGGUCAGCGACUUAUAUUCUGUAGCAAGGUUAACCGAAUAGGGGAGCCGAAGGGAAACCGAGUCUUAACUGGGCGUUAAGUUGCAGGGUAUAGACCCGAAACCCGGUGAUCUAGCCAUGGGCAGGUUGAAGGUUGGGUAACACUAACUGGAGGACCGAACCGACUAAUGUUGAAAAAUUAGCGGAUGACUUGUGGCUGGGGGUGAAAGGCCAAUCAAACCGGGAGAUAGCUGGUUCUCCCCGAAAGCUAUUUAGGUAGCGCCUCGUGAAUUCAUCUCCGGGGGUAGAGCACUGUUUCGGCAAGGGGGUCAUCCCGACUUACCAACCCGAUGCAAACUGCGAAUACCGGAGAAUGUUAUCACGGGAGACACACGGCGGGUGCUAACGUCCGUCGUGAAGAGGGAAACAACCCAGACCGCCAGCUAAGGUCCCAAAGUCAUGGUUAAGUGGGAAACGAUGUGGGAAGGCCCAGACAGCCAGGAUGUUGGCUUAGAAGCAGCCAUCAUUUAAAGAAAGCGUAAUAGCUCACUGGUCGAGUCGGCCUGCGCGGAAGAUGUAACGGGGCUAAACCAUGCACCGAAGCUGCGGCAGCGACGCUUAUGCGUUGUUGGGUAGGGGAGCGUUCUGUAAGCCUGYGAAGGUGURCUGUGAGGYAUGCUGGAGGUAUCAGAAGUGCGAAUGCUGACAUAAGUAACGAUAAAGCGGGUGAAAAGCCCGCUCGCCGGAAGACCAAGGGUUCCUGUCCAACGUUAAUCGGGGCAGGGUGAGUCGACCCCUAAGGCGAGGCCGAAAGGCGUAGUCGAUGGGAAACAGGUUAAUAUUCCUGUACUUGGUGUUACUGCGAAGGGGGGACGGAGAAGGCUAUGUUGGCCGGGCGACGGUUGUCCCGGUUUAAGCGUGUAGGCUGGUUUUCCAGGCAAAUCCGGAAAAUCAAGGCUGAGGCGUGAUGACGAGGCACUACGGUGCUGAAGCAACAAAUGCCCUGCUUCCAGGAAAAGCCUCUAAGCAUCAGGUAACAUCAAAUCGUACCCCAAACCGACACAGGUGGUCAGGUAGAGAAUACCAAGGCGCUUGAGAGAACUCGGGUGAAGGAACUAGGCAAAAUGGUGCCGUAACUUCGGGAGAAGGCACGCUGAUAUGUAGGUGARGUCCCUCGCGGAUGGAGCUGAAAUCAGUCGAAGAUACCAGCUGGCUGCAACUGUUUAUUAAAAACACAGCACUGUGCAAACACGAAAGUGGACGUAUACGGUGUGACGCCUGCCCGGUGCCGGAAGGUUAAUUGAUGGGGUUAGCCGCAAGGCGAAGCUCUUGAUCGAAGCCCCGGUAAACGGCGGCCGUAACUAUAACGGUCCUAAGGUAGCGAAAUUCCUUGUCGGGUAAGUUCCGACCUGCACGAAUGGCGUAAUGAUGGCCAGGCUGUCUCCACCCGAGACUCAGUGAAAUUGAACUCGCUGUGAAGAUGCAGUGUACCCGCGGCAAGACGGAAAGACC